GUAAAGUCAGCUAAUUAAGCUCU
rnacentral:tRNA from 2 species